GCCGACGGUAAUACGUAGGUGGCAAGCGUUGUCCGGAAUUAUUGGGCGUAAAGCGCGCGCAGGCGGCUUCUUAAGUCCAUCUUAAAAAGUGCGGGGCUUAACCCCCGUGAUGGGAUGGAAACUGAGAGGCUGGAGUAUCGGAGAGGAAAGUGGAAUUCCUAGUGUAGCGGUGAAAUGCGUAGAGAUUAGGAAGAACACCGGUGGCGAAGGCGACUUUCUGGACGACAACUGACGCUGAGGCGCGAAAGCGUGGGGAGCAA
rnacentral:rRNA from 1 species